rnacentral:rRNA from 1 species
GAGGGUGCGAGCGUUAAUCGGAAUUACUGGGCGUAAAGCGUGCGUAGAUGGUUAUGUAAGUCGGAUGUGAAAGCCCAGGGCUCAACCUUGGAAUUGCAUUCGAGACUGCAUAGCUAGGAUGCGGAAGAGGGAAGCGGAAUUUCCGGUGUAGCGGUGAAAUGCGUAGAUAUCGGAAGGAACACCAGUGGCGAAAGCGGCUUCCUGGUCCAGCAUCGACGUUCAGGCACGAAAGCGUGGGGAGCAAACAGGAUUAGAUACCCUGGUAGUCCACGCCAUAAACGAUGACAACUAGACGUUGAGAGGGUAAGCCUCCCAGUGUCGCAGCUAACGCGUUAAGUUGUCCGCCUGGGGGAGUACGGCCGCAAGGUUG